UACCUCAAGACUUCUAGUAGGCUGGUGCUCCCAACUGAAGAAGUAUGAAUGUGCAACACCUCUAGCAUCCCUGUAGGUAGCAUGUCGUACUCCUGAAACAAGUUCAUUUCAUUUUUUAUUUUUUUUUUUCAUUUUCAAAGAACAUUUAAUCACAACUAUAUUUUUAUAAACCAGUUCGCUUACUAUUUGCACAACUGCGUGGAUCAGGAAGAGCGAGUCGACGUUGAGCGUGUACAGCGACACCGACAAAAAGGUGAAAGGAGAGUUUUCAACGGUGAAUUAUCAUUUGAGAAAGAGAGAUGCUGCCACCGAUGAUGGUUCUCUCGCGUCGACGACAAGGAAAGGUGCGAGGGGAUUUUGCAACAGGUCGUUUUUUUUUCGUCCCGCUAACUUUCCUUGGAGGCUCCAUAGGCUUGCAACUUUCUAAAUCAGCUCCACGAUACCGGUGGAUGAUACUCACAAUUAAGGAGCAAAGUGCGCCUCUGAAUAGUAAUCACAAUUACACUACAACAUUCUAUAAUGCAAGAAAGUAAGGAAAAUGAUAGUAGAACACAAACUGCUACAUUGUAGAGAACAAUUUCAAGGAAAUUACGAAUGUGCAAUUACAAAAGAGUUAUGACAUUUCAAGAUAUGAAAAAAUAUUAGAAGCAACGAUUUUUAGUUUCCUGUACUGCAUGAAAAACUUGAUAAGAAUGACAAUGAAUUUGUAUUUAAAAUUCCACGCUGCUACAGAGUUAAUUAAGUCCCACUUUUAAUGGCGCUGCUUUCGCUAAAAAUCAGUGUCAGCGGUCGUUCACCUGGAUUGAAGAAAUGCUAAUACCAUCGCGGAAGAGGUAAAUCAAUUAUCAAACAAACGAUUUAAAAAAAAUCUCGUUUACCAAACAACUUAAACACCCCGAGCAAAGUUCAGUACACCAUGCUGUGUAAUUUGCCUAGUAUUCCUGCGGUUGAAGCAAUACGUCCAUUAAUUAAAUUAUAGUAAGGUUGUUUUUCAAUUAUCGGUUGACGCAACCGCGGGCUGCGAGUCUCGACGGAAGAAGAAUUUCUUUCGCUUCUAGUAUCCACAGAUUUAAUUAACCAAAAUAAUGCUUAUGGUAUUUUAUUGAUUGUAAUUCAAGGUACAACUUUUUGUCUACUUUUUAGUAGGAAAUUCAAAGGAAGAGAGGAUGUUCAUAGAAUUCCUUAUAUGAACAGUCGUCGACCGGAUGAGACUUUCGACACAAUAUUGUUUCAUGAAUUUCGUAACAGUUAUUAUCUAAUUACGGAGUGUUAAGAAAUUGGAAGUUCUCAAUGACACUUUUUCAAGCCUAUCUAUGAUCAAAUUUUUUAUUGUCACUGAGCCUGAGACUUUUAUUUCAUAAUAAAAUGUACAG